rnacentral:rRNA from 1 species
GGCAAAAUGAGAGUCCAACUGUCUCUUAUAAUUAAUCAAUUAAACUGAUCUCUCAGUACAAAAGCUGAGAUACCCCCACAAGACCAGAAGACCCUGUGAAGCUUUAAUUACCCUAUUAAAUCUCAUAAUAGAUAAUUUCGGUUGGGGCGACCUUGGAACAAAAAAGAACUUCCAAAUAUAUGAUUCAAUCAUAAAAAGGCACACAAGCCAUUAUUAGACCCAGUAUACCUGAUAAAUGAACCAAGUUACUCCAGGGAUAACAGCGCUAUCUUCUUCAAGAGCCCAUAUCAAAAAGAAGGUUUACGACCUCGAUGUUGGAUCAGGACAUCCUAUUUAUGCAGCCGUUACUAAGGGUUCGUUUGUUCAACGAUUAACAGUCCUACGUGA